GUGGGGAAUCUUGCGCAAUGGGCGAAAGCCUGACGCAGCCAUGCCGCGUGAAUGAUGAAGGUCUUAGGAUUGUAAAAUUCUUUCACCGGGGACGAUAAUGACGGUACCCGGAGAAGAAGCUCCGGCUAACUUCGUGCCAGAAGCCGCGGUAAUACGAAGGGGGCUAGCGUUGCUCGGAAUUACUGGGCGUAAAGGGCGCGUAGGCGGACAGCUUAGUCAGAGGUGAAAGCCCAGGGCUCAACCUUGGAAUUGCCUUUGAUACUGGCUGUCUUGAGUUUGGGAGAGGUGAGUGGAACUCCGAGUGUAGAGGUGAUAGUCGUAGAUAUUCGGAAGAACACCAGUGGCGAAGGCGACUCACUGGCCCAAUACUGACGCUGAGGCGCGAAAGCGUGGGGAGCAAACAGGAUUAGAAACCCUUGUAGUCC
rnacentral:rRNA from 1 species